rnacentral:rRNA from 1 species
UACGGGGGGUGCGAGCGUUGUCCGGAAUCACUGGGCGUAAAGGGCGCGUAGGUGGCGUGAUAAGGGUGUGGUGAAAGCCCGGGGCUCAACCCCGGGUCUGCCGUGCCGACUGUCAGGCUAGAGUACUGUAGGGGCAGGCGGAAUUCCGGGUGUAGCGGUGGAAUGCGUAGAGAUCCGGAGGAAGACCGGUGGCGAAGGCGGCCUGCUGGGCAGUUACUGACACUGAGGCGCGACAGCGUGGGGAGCAAACAGG